rnacentral:rRNA from 1 species
UACGUAGGGGCCUAGCGUUGUCCGGAUUUAUUGGGCGUAAAGAGCGUGUAGGCGGCUUUACAGGUCCGUUGUGAAAACUCGAGGCUCAACCUCGAGACGCCGGUGGAAACCGUAAGGCUAGAGUCCGGAAGAGGAGAGUGGAAUUCCUGGUGUAGCGGUGAAAUGCGCAGAUAUCAGGAGGAACACCCGUGGCGAAAGCGGCUCUCUGGGACGGUACUGACGCUGAGACGCGAAAGCGUGGGGAGCAAACAGG